rnacentral:snoRNA from 1 species
AUCCUUUUGUAGUUCGUAAGUGUGAUGAUUGGGUGUUCAUGUUCUUGUGUGAGAUGUGCCUCCCUCAAACCUUGUUAUGAUAUCAGUACAUUACCCAUCUGAUG